CAAACAUAUUGCUUUUACGUUUGUCCGUACAAAGAAGGCUCAGAAACAAUGGAUACUAUUGGCGACUCGUUCGACGACUCAGUCCCUCAGUCUGAGUCAACUCGACCCUUGGACGAAGACAACGGUGGCUACGUCGACUACAACUCGGAGCAAUUCGACUCUUUCUCUGUCGGAGAUGAAGUUUUCGAUUCGCAUGAGCCCUUCAACGCACCUGGCGGAGAGUUCGAGCCGGAGGAAAAUGGGAAGGGGUUCAGUGGAGAGUUUGGUGGAUCGGACGGUCCGAUUUUGCCGCCUUC
rnacentral:misc_RNA from 1 species